AGUGUGACUCACAGCUGUCCGUGAACCACCUACUGUAACAGCUGGCUAGACACCACAGCCCUGCGGCCCUGCAGCCCAGCCACGUCUUUUUAGCUUCACCUCGACGGCCUUGCUCUUGACCUGAAAUCACCAUCACCUUAAUGGGCUAGAAAAGGUGGGGUUUAGAGGUUUCCCCACUGCGAGCCCUUCGAGAACAAUGUCAUGUUGAUCGAUGGCAGUGACUCACACCAGAUCUUUCCAUGCCUCCUCUGCAAGGACUCAAGAGAGUCGAGAGCAAAACCGUGCCAUAGUUCCAUAAGGAGGGCAAAGAGCUUUAUCCACGCUGAGGAACAGGCGGAUCAUGCGGCUACAGCACUGGUCUUUACCUUUUAACUGCUUGAUUCGAAACAUUCCAGCCAGGAACAGUGGCUCACACCUGUAAUCCCAGCACUUUGUGGGGCCAAGGCAGGUGGAUUGCUCGAGCUCAGGAGUUCGAAACCAGCCUGGGCAACCUGGCAAAACCUCAUCUCUACAAAAAAAUACAAAAAUUAGCCAGGCCUGGUGUGUGUGCCUGUGGUUCCAGCCACUCGGCAGGCUGCGGCCAGAGGAUCACUUGAGCCCAGGAAGUGGAGGCUGCAGUGAGCUGAGAUCGUGCCGCCACACUCCAGCCUGGGUGACAGAGCCAGACAUUGUCUCUAAAAAAAAAAAAAAAAGAAAAGAAAAGAAAGAAAAAAGAGAAAUAGUCCAAGACUAGGGAGAAAACCUUCUUUGGGGUCAGUGUGAACCAUUCUUUCAUUUGUUCAGCAAAUGCUUACUGAGGAGCUACUGUGUCCCUGAAAUUGCCUCCACCUCCAAGAAGACAGUGGUGAUUCACUGCAACCCAGAGAAAGUUUUGUGUUGUGUUCUGGCUGGCGAAACUUCUGCAAACAACGAAUGCUUCUUUUCAUCAGCCUAUUCUGCGUUGGUUGGUAGGAUGUCAGUCUAUAACCACAUCAAUUUCAGAUGAGGAUGUCAAGACUUGGAGUAGGUGACAGUUGGCCUUGGGCUUCGGUGGCCAACCCAUGACUACAAAAGCCCGAGAAGCCAGCAGCUUCCCCGGCUCCUCCACCAAGUGGCCUCUGGGUGAUGGGGAAGCUUGUCCUCUGCUUUGUCACACACAAAACUCUAAAAGUCAGCAUCCCAACGCAUCGGCCUGGAGAGCCCGUCCAGCAAACCCGUCUGUGGGUGGAAGUGGAUGGAUCACAGACCUAUAGUGUGAGGCUGAGAUUCUGCAGCAUUGGGUGACUCGCCGGGGCCCUGCGACCACACAAGCAAGCAGGAGGUGCUCUGUGCCUGUUUUGUUUUCAGACGCAGUCUCCCUCUGCUGCCCAGGCUGGAGUGCAGUGAUAGAUCUUGGCCCAUUGCAACAUCCGCCUCCCCUGUUCAAGCGACUCUCAUGCCUCAGGCUUCCAAAUAGCUGGGAUUACAGUGCAUUGGAAGCCACAGGAAGAUUUUUUUUUUUUUUUUUUUUUGGAUGGAGUCUCGCUCUGUCGCCCAGGCUGGAGUGCAAUGCGCCAUCUCGGCUCACUGCAACCUUCGCCUCCCGGUUUCAAGUGAUUCUCCGGCCUCAGCCCCCCGAGCAGCUGGGAAUACAGGGUCUCACACUAUUGCCCAGAAUGGAGUGCAGUGGCAGGAUCUCAGCUCACUGCAACCUCCACCUCCCGGGUUCAAGACAUUCUUCAUGCUUCAGCUUCCCAAGUAGCUGGGACUACAGUCACACACACCACCAUGCCCAGCUAAUUUUUGUACUUUUAGUAGAGACAGAGUUUCUCCCUGUUGGCCAGGCUGGGCUCAAACUCCUGACCUCAGGUGAUACACCUGCCUCAGCCUCCCAAAGUGCUGGGAUUACAGGCGUGAGCCACCGUGCCUGGCCUGAUUUUCUUUUUUUUUUUCUUUUUUUUUUCUUUUUUUUUUUGAGAUGGAGUCUUGCUCUGUCACCCAAGCUGCAGUGCAGUGGCGUGAUCUCGGCUCACUGCAAGCUCCGUCUCCCGGGUUCACGCCAUUCUUCUGCCUCAGCCUCCCGAGUAGCUGGGACUACAGGUGCCCGCCACCACACCCGGCUAAUUGUUUGUAUUUUUAGUAGAGACGGGGUUUCACCGUGUUAGCCAGGAUGGUCUCGAUCUCCUGACCUUGUGAUCUGCCCGCCUCGGCCUCCCAAAGUGCUGGGAUUACAGGUGUGAGCCACCACAACUGGCCUGAUUUUCUUUUUUUUUCUUUUCUUUUUUUUUGAGAUGGAGUCUCGCUCUGUCACCCAAGCUGCAGUGUAGUGGCGUGAUCUCGGCUCACUGCAAGCUCCGUCUCCCGGGUUCACGCCAUUCUCCUGCCUCAGCCUCCCGAGUAGCUGGGACUACAGGUGCCCACCACCACACCCAGCUAAUUUUUUGUAUUUUUAGUAGAGACGGGGUUUCACUGUGUUAGCCAGGAUGGUUUCGAUCUCCUGACCUUGUGAUCCGCCCACCUCGGCCUCCCGAAGUGCUGGGAUUACAGCGUGAGCCACCGCGCCUGGCCUGAUUUUCUUUUUGAAAGAUUACUCUAGCUGCAGGGUGGAGGGUACAUUGGCGAGAGCGGUCGACAGAGUAAAUGCGCUAUGAGGGCUCAAGCAGC
rnacentral:lncRNA from 1 species